rnacentral:rRNA from 1 species
CCUACGGGUGGCAGCAGUGAGGAAUAUUGGUCAAUGGCCGCAAGGCUGAACCAGCCAAGCCGCGUGAAGGAUGACGGUGCUACGCGUUGUAAACUUCUUUUGUAAAGGGAUAAACUCAGGCACGUGUGCCUGAUUGAGGGUACUUUAAGAAUAAGCAUCGGCUAACUCCGUGCCAGCAGCCGCGGUAAUACGGAGGAUCCGAGCGUUAUCCGGAUUUAUUGGGUUUAAAGGGUGCGUAGGGGGGUUGUUAAGUCAGCGGUAAAAGGUCGGGGCUCAACCCCGAAUAGCCGUUGAUACUGGCAGGCUUGAGAAUAGUUGAGGUAGGCGGAAUGCGUGGUGUAGCGGUGAAAUGCUUAGAGAUCACGCAGAACUCCGAUUGCGAAGGCAGCUUACCAAACUACAUCUGACGUUGAGGCACGAAAGCGUGGGUAGCAAACAGGAUUAGAUACCCGUGUAGUC